GCGUUACAAGUUUGCUUUGCAGUCGUAAUCUUCUAGGCGCAGUCCCUUGAAAUGUAGAAAACUCAUUUGGUUGUUGCAGAUUUCUUGGCCGACGACUCAUUCUCUGAAUUCCAGUUGCAGCAUCUGUACUUCCAACUGCAGACGAUGGAUUGUAUGAUUCCUGAAGGCUACCUGAUAUAUUAUAAAGUUGACCUUGUUCUGGUGGUGCAGUUCCCAUAUGCUCAAUUAUAGGAGUCUUCCUGUCGAUAUCCUCCAGACAAAUUGAGCUUUCAAAGUCUGGCAUAACCAUUGCUUUGACAUUGUCAGCCUCCACUUUGCUGAAAAAUCCAUGGUCCAAGUUAUCCAUUGUAUUAUUCGGAAACUCACUUAGGGACAUGAAUUCUUG
rnacentral:misc_RNA from 1 species